rnacentral:sRNA from 1 species
UCAAAUCCAGAGCAACGCGCCAAUGCGUGUU